rnacentral:lncRNA from 1 species
UUUUUUUUUUGCAAAAGUGAAAACUUCUGUUAUAGUGUUACAAUUCAGAGGGUAAGCGGUGAUUUUAAAACUUUAAUAGUGGGCCACCUUCAUUUCUUGAUGUGCUCAUCGAGUGCCCUAAAGGCAUCAAUUAGAAAAAAUCUUUUCUUUAGUACAUUGUGUAUUGGGUGACUUUAAGGAGCUUUUUAAGUUGUUUAGAAUCUUCAAACUUUUUUUUUGUCCAGACCAAUGGUGUGGAAAAAACAAAAAGACAAAGUGCUUAUAUUUAAAAGCUUAUUUAAGAUGUUUUCAAGGUGCAAAACAUUACUUUCUUCAUCUAAAUAGUAAUUCAUCUGAUGUUUAAAUGUUUUAUAAAUUCCUUAAAAAUUUUAAACUUUUAAUGUUUUGUGCCCAAAUUAUGACAUGGAAACUAUUAAAGGAUCUAUCAACCCAUUAAGAACUGUUAAUUUCAAAGAACUAUGUUAGUUAAGUUUUCAAAUAUUAAGGGAUCAAAUUAAUUUGUCAUGACAAUUAAGGGAUCAUAGCAAAAGGCCAAUUUUCAAAUGAAUUGAUCCUUUUUUUCCCCAAAAUGAGUUUUUUAAUCCUAUGACUUGAAAUGGGUUGAUGGAUUUGAAAAAAAGUUAAAAGUAGGGAAGGCUAGUAAUUUAUUUUAAAGUUCAACAGCGUUAAGUAAUACGAUUAAAAAUCUCAAGGUAAGUUUUUAUAAUUAUCCCUUAUCAAUAUUAUUAGAGUUUCAAACAAUUUUGUCUAUCCAGGUUAUGCCAUUGAUGAUGGUUUAAAGUGAUAAAAAUAAAAUAUGAAGUGUAAAAGAGAAAAUGCAAUUUAAGGACAAAAGAAUGCAAGAAAAGUCAGUUUUGGCAACUUGUGGUAUUUCGGCUAUAUCUUGAGCUACAUACAUUGGAUUGAGAUGAUUCUUGAACCAUUUUUAAGCUAAGAGACGUAUCUAAAUUUGGUAUGAAAACAUCAAAGUCCAAUUCAGUCAUUUUCCUGUUUACUUUGACAAAAACUUGACGUGCGCGGGAUAUACAUAUCAAUUUAGUUCAUCCACAAUCAAGUUUUACAUUUAUGAACUUCUAAAUAUCCCACACACGAUUUAUUGCAAGUAUACAAAUCGUGAGCGAGUAUAGGGUAUUAAGGGUCUAUCCCACGGAGAAGAUUCGAAUAACCGGUGUUUUUCAAACUUCUUUAUUAUCUAGACUACCAUAAACAUAUAAAAGUAAUAAAAAUUAGCACUAGAAAGCUCCUAAAGAUAAGGAAUUCAUUACUACUCUUGCAAAUGAAGUUAUCGGUUAAGUGAAUGCUAUUAUCUUGGCUAGUUAUGGCAUAAUUUCCUUAUGCAUGUGAAACCUACUCUCGUAGUGAAUCAACUAUACUUGUAAUUAAGCCAUACCUACUCUCGUGGUUAUGAAUUAACUACGAGCUCAUUUCUUCUAUGAAAUUACAUGAAACAAGUCACUAAAGCCACAUAGGUGCACCUCUACUCUAGUGAGUAUACUCCCUAAGUUUAUUACUUCUCUGAACUAGUGUUAAAUUCCAAUUCUUAUUACAAACUUAACACCUUUAGAUAAUCACAAUUAACGGCCAGUUAAUCAUGAUUAGAAAAGCAAAAGUGAUAAAUAAUUUGUUCAAAAUAAUAUUACCAAAUAACCAAAUAAACAUCAUGAACAAGAUAUAGAAAGUUCAACCAUAAGCAUUAACUUUAACUAAACAUGAAGAAAAUAAAAGAAAGAUCCAUACUUGUAUUAUAACUAAACAUAAGAUGCAAUACAAGAAAUAAAGUGAUAGGAGAAAUGUCACCCAUGUCACUUGAACUCCAUGCUCUCCAUCUUCAUCCUCAACUUCAUCUAAGUUUAGCUACUAAUACAAGAAGGAAACACUACCCUAACUAAUGAACUAAGAAAAACUAGUGAAAGCUAUAUUUUUGAUGAGUUUCUCUAGCCUUCCUAAGUU